rnacentral:piRNA from 1 species
UAAGAGCUAGAAUGCCCCUCUGGAGC